AGCAGCCGCGGUAAUUCCAGCUCCAAUAGCGUAUAUUAAAGUUGUUGCAGUUAAAAAGCUCGUAGUUGAAUUUCGGGAUCAGUACGCCGGUCGUGCCUUCGGUAUGCACUGGUGUCACUGAUUCCUCCCUUCUGAAGAACCGUUAUGCCAUUUAUUUGGUGUGGCGGGGAAUCAGGACUGUUACUUUGAAAAAAUUAGAGUGUUUAAAGCAGGCUCGCGCUUGAAUACAUUAGCAUGGAAUAAUGAAAUAGGACGUUUGAUCUUAUUUUGUUGGUUUCUAGGAUCGACGUAAUGAUUAAUAGGGAUAGUUGGGGGCAUUAGUAUUCAAUUGUCAGAGGUGAAAUUCUUGGAUUUAUUGAAGACUAACUACUGCGAAAGCAUUUGCCAAGGAUGUUUUCAUUAAUCAAGAACGAAAGUUAGGGGAUCGAAGACGAUCAGAUACCGUCGUAG
rnacentral:rRNA from 1 species